rnacentral:rRNA from 1 species
AUUGAACGCUGGCGGCAGGCUUAACACAUGCAAGUCGAGCGAGCGGCGGACUGGUGAGUAAUGUCUGGGAACCUGCCUGAUGGAGGGGGAUAACUAGUUUAAACGGUAGCUACAACUGCAUACCACCGUUUGCGCCCACAUGGGAUUAGCUAGUAGGUGGGGUAAAGGAUCACCUAGGCGACGAUCCCUAGCUGGUCUGAGAGGAUGACCGGCCACACUGGAACUGAGACACGGUCCAGACUCCUAAGGGAGGCAGCAGUGGGGAAUAUUGCACAAUGGGCGCAAGCCUGAUGCAGCCAUGCCGCGUGUAUGAAGAAGGCCUUCGGGUUGUAAAGUACUUUCAGCGGGGAGGCGUUACCCGCAGAAGAAGCACCGGCUAACUCCGUGCCAGCAGCCGCGGUAAUUC